rnacentral:lncRNA from 1 species
GUCAGAAGAUACGAAAGCCCACGAGGAAGGUAAAAUCAACCCUUCAGCGGAACCCGGGCCGGAAAAAGAAAGGGAAGAGGUCGGCGAAUCCAGUCUUCUACCACCACCCGCAGAGAAAAAAAGAAGAAUGAAAG